rnacentral:rRNA from 1 species
UACGUAGGGGCAAGCGUUGUCCGGAUUUAUUGGGCGUAAAGAGCGUGUAGGCGGUUCGGUAGGUCCGUUGUGAAAACUCGAGCUCAACCUCGAGGCGCCGAUGGAAACCCCCGAACUAGAGUCCGGAAGAGGAGAAUGGAAUUCCUGGUGUAGCGGUGAAAUGCGCAGAUAUCAGGAAGAACACCCGUGGCUAAGGCGGUUCUCUAGUACGGUACUGACGCUGAGACGCGAAAGCGUGGGGAGCGAAC